rnacentral:rRNA from 1 species
CACUCCUACGGGAGGCAGCAGUGGGGAAUAUUGCACAAUGGGCGCAAGCCUGAUGCAGCCAUGCCGCGUGUAUGAAGAAGGCCUUCGGGUUGUAAAGUACUUUCAGCGGGGAGGAAGGCAAUACGGUUAAUAACCGUGUUGAUUGACGUUACCCGCAGAAGAAGCACCGGCUAACUCCGUGCCAGCAGCCGCGGUAAUACGGAGGGUGCAAGCGUUAAUCGGAAUUACUGGGCGUAAAGCGCACGCAGGCGGUCUGUCAAGUCGGAUGUGAAAUCCCCGGGCUCAACCUGGGAACUGCAUUCGAAACUGGCAGGCUUGAGUCUUGUAGAGGGGGGUAGAAUUCCAGGUGUAGCGGUGAAAUGCGUAGAGAUCUGGAGGAAUACCGGUGGCGAAGGCGGCCCCCUGGACAAAGACUGACGCUCAGGUGCGAAAGCGUGGGGAGCAAACAGGAUUAGAUACCCUAGUAGUCCCAUGA